rnacentral:rRNA from 1 species
CAAUAGCGUAUAUUAAAGUUGUUGCGGUUAAAAAGCUCGUAGUUGGAUUUCUGCUGAGGAUGACCGGUCCGCUUUCCGAGUGUGUAUCUGGCUCAGCCUUGGCAUCUUCCUGAAGAACGUAUCUGCACUUGACUGUGUGGUGCGGUAUUUAGGACAUUUACUUUUGAAGAGAUUAGAGUGUUUCAAGCAAGCGCACGCCUUGAAUACAUUAGCAUGGAAUAAUAAGAUAGGAGCUCGGUUCUAUUUUGUUGGUUUCUAGAGCUGAGGUAAUGAUUGAUAGGGAUAGUUGGGGGCAUUCGUAUUUAAAUGUCAGAGGUGAAAUUCUUGGAUUUUGUUAAAGACGGACUACUGCGAAAGCAUUUGCCAAGGAUGUUUUUCAUUGAUCAAGAACGAAAGUUAGGGGAUCGAAGACGAUUAGAU